rnacentral:rRNA from 1 species
UGGGGAAUAUUGGACACUGGGCGAAAGCCUGAUCCAGCCAUGCCGCGUGUGUGAAGAAGGUCUUCGGAUUGUAAAGCACUUUAAGUUGGGAGGAAGGGCAGUAAGCGAAUACCUUGCUGUUUUGACGUUACCGACAGAAUAAGCACCGGCUAACUCUGUGCCAGCAGCCGCGGUAAUACAGAGGGUGCAAGCGUUAAUCGGAAUUACUGGGCGUAAAGCGCGCGUAGGUGGUUCGUUAAGUUGAAUGUGAAAGCCCCGGGCUCAACCUGGGAACUGCAUCCAAAACGGGCGAGCUAGAGUAGGGCAGAGGGUGGUGGAAUUUCCUGUGUAGCGGUGAAAUGCGUAGAUAUAGGAAGGAACACCAGUGGCGAAGGCGACCACCUGGGCUCAUACUGACACUGAGGUGCGAAAGCGUGGGGAGCAAACAGG